UUACGAUCAUAUCACGGUGAGACACCGGUUCUCAUCCGAUUACCGAAGUUAAGCAACGUUGGGCAUGGUUACUAUCUACAUGUGAGACUGCUCGGGAAACCAGGUGUUGUAA